rnacentral:rRNA from 1 species
AUGAACGCUAGCGACAGGCCUAACACAUGCAAGUCAGGGGCAGCACAAGGAGCAAUCUGAGGUGGCGACCGGCGCACGGGUGAGUAACACGUAUGCAACCUGCCUGUAAGCGGGGAAUAACCCGUUGAAAGACGGACUAAUACCGCAUAAUACUAAAUUACUGCAUGGUAAUUUAUUUAAACAUUUAUGGCUUACAGAUGGGCAUGCGCAUGAUUAGCUAGUUGGAGAGGUAACGGCUCCCCAAGGCAACGAUCAUUAGGGGUUCUGAGAGGAAGGUCCCCCACACUGGUACUGAGACACGGACCAGACUCCUACGGGAGGCAGCAGUGAGGAAUAUUGGUCAAUGGACGAGAGUCUGAACCAGCCAAGUCGCGUGCAGGAAGAAUGUCCUUAAUGGAUUGUAAACUGCUUUUGCGAGGGGAAUAAAGUGCAUCACGUGUGAUGUUUUGUAUGUACUCUGCGAAUAAGGAUCGGCUAACUCCGUGCCAGCCGCUGC